rnacentral:rRNA from 1 species
CGGUAAUACGGAGGAUGCAAGCGUUAUCCGGAUUCAUUGGGUUUAAAGGGUGCGUAGGCGGUUAUUUAAGUCAGUGGUGAAAUCCUGUCGCUCAACGAUAGAACUGCCAUUGAUACUGAAUAACUUGAGUACAGUUGAGGUAGGCGGAAUGUGUAGUGUAGCGGUGAAAUGCUUAGAUAUUACACAGAACACCGAUUGCGAAGGCAGCUUACUAAACUGCAACUGACGCUGAUGCACGAAAGCGUGGGGAUCGAACAGGAUUAGAUACCCUGGUAGUCCACGCUGUAAACGAUGCUCACUCGCUGUAUGCGAUAUACCGUAUGCGGCCAAGCGAAAGCAUUAAGUGAGCCACCUGGGGAGUACGAUCGCAAGGUUGAAACUCAAAGGAAUUGACGGGGGCCCGCACAAGCGGAGGAACAUGUGGUUUAAUUCGAUGAUACGCGAGGAACCUUACCUGGGCUUAAAUGUAGGCUGCAUUCGGCUGAAAGGCUGAUUCCCUUCGGGGCUGCUUACAAGGUGCUGCAUGGUUGUCGUCAGCUCGUGCCGUGAGGUGUCGGGUUAAGUCCCAUAACGAGCGCAACCCUUAUCGUUAGUUGCCAGCGGGUAAAGCAGGGGACUCUAGCGAAACUGCCACCGUAAGGUGAGAGGAAGGUGGGGAUGACGUCAAAUCAGCACGGCCCUUAUGUCCAGGGCUACACACGUGUUACAAUGGCCGGUACAGAGGGCAGCUAUGCCGCGAGGCAAUGCGAAUCUCGAAAGCCGGUCUCAGUUCGGAUCGGAGUCUGCAACUCGACUCCGUGAAGCUGGAUUCGCUAGUA